GGACAAUAUUUCUAAUGAAAAGAAUCUUAGAAACCCUCAUUUAUCUACUUUACUUUGUCUGUUAGUUAUUUUCUUCAAAGCAGGGACUACAUGAAGGAGCAAUUUGCGAGUGUUUCUGAAAGCUCUAUCUUUAAAGUGGUGAAAUGAAUUCUGAGGAAGGGUAGAACUCAAGACCACUCAACUUUAUCUACUGUUACUGCAGCACUUUUUGGCAGCCAGUAGGAUCUGAACACCUGGUUGAAUUUUACUCAUCUUUCAAGACUGAACUUCAGUGUCAUUUGCCCAGAGAAACCCCUUGAGCCUUCAC
rnacentral:lncRNA from 1 species